rnacentral:rRNA from 1 species
UACGGGGGGGGCAAGCGUUGUUCGGAAUUACUGGGCGUAAAGGGCUCGUAGGCGGCCAACUAAGUCAGACGUGAAAUCCCUCGGCUUAACCGGGGAACUGCGUCUGAUACUGGAUGGCUUGAAUCCGGGAGAGGGAUGCGGAAUUCCAGGUGUAGCGGUGAAAUGCGUAGAUAUCUGGAGGAACACCGGUGGCGAAGGCGGCAUCCUGGACCGGCAUUGACGCUGAGGUGCGAAAGCGUGGGGAGCAAACGGGG